rnacentral:rRNA from 1 species
UACGUAGGUGGCAAGCGUUGUCCGGAUUUAUUGGGUUUAAAGGGUGCGUAGGCGGCUUUGUAAGUCAGUGGUGAAAUAUGGCAGCUCAACUGUCAGGGUGCCAUUGAUACUGCGGAGCUUGAGUACAGAUGAGGUAGGCGGAAUUUAUGGUGUAGCGGUGAAAUGCAUAGAUACCAUAAAGAACUCCUAUUGCGAAGGCAGCUUACUAGGCUGUAACUGACGCUGAGGCACGAAAGCGUGGGGAUCAAACAGG